rnacentral:rRNA from 1 species
CAGCCGCCGCGGUAAUACGUAGGGUGCAAGCGUUAAUCGGAAUUACUGGGCGUAAAGCGUGCGCAGGCGGUUCGUUAAGACAGAUGUGAAAUCCCCGGGCUUAACCUGGGAACUGCAUUUGUGACUGGCGGGCUAGAGUAUGGCAGAGGGGGGUAGAACUCCACGUGUAGCAGUGAAAUGCGUAGGGAUGUGGAGGAAUACCGAUGGCGAAGGCAGCCCCCUGGGCCAAUACUGACGCUCAUGCACGAAAGCGUGGGGAGCAAACAGGAUUAGAUACCCCGGUAGUCCCUGUCUCUUAUAC